UAAAAACCAAAGGCAGAAAGCAACCAAUCA
rnacentral:piRNA from 1 species